GACAGAGGUCUCGAGCGUUAGGCGGAAUCACUGGGCUUAAAGCGUGUGUAGGCGGAUUUGUAAGUACCUUGUGAAAUCCCACGGCUUAACCGUGGAACUGCUUGGUAUACUGCUUAUCUUGGGCCAUCUAGGGGCGAGCGGAACAAACGGUGGAGCGGUGAAAUGCGUAGAUAUCGUUUGGAACGCCAAUGGUGAAAACAGCUCGCUGGGGAUGUGCCGACGCUGAGACACGAAAGCCAGGGGAGCGAACGGG
rnacentral:rRNA from 1 species